UUCAGUUCGUAUGUAAUUUCAAUCAAUCAAUUGGAAUAUUUUCUACUGGAUUUUUGUCUUUGAAGUAUUCAAACCUGUCUUCUAUAAAACCAAGAAAAAGACUUCUGGAAGUGGCCAAAGGUUAACGAACAUAUCAAAGUUCAACACUUGCACAUGACUUUAAGUAUGCUUCUAAAUUUGCUGUCGACGGACGUCUGAAUACAAUUCAACACACAAAGAAGCAACAUUUUCCGUACUGGGUAGUAGAUAUUGGCACCAUAUAUAACAUAGAACGAGUCGAAAUUUAUAAUCACCAAAACUGUUGUGAAGAACGUCUUCGUUAUUUAGAUAUAUUAUUUGGACCGUAUCAUAAUGCUAUGAAAUUAUGUGCACACUAUGCAGGACCAAAUCAUACAGGAGAUCAUCUGGUAUUCAACUGUAGUGGAGUCUUACCAGGGAGAUAUGUAAAACUUAUGAUGAGGACAACAUAAUAUCUUCAUGUAGCUGAAGUGAAAGUAUUUCCUGGGAUAAAAUGAAUUUUUGUUUCUAAAUAUUAUUGUUAUAAUAUUAUUCUGUUAGAAGGACACUUUGCACAAGUUAAUCAUUGCUGACGUUAGAAAACAGAGUAAAAACUAGCGACUCUUCUUGAAAUGGUCCUUAAAUGGUUCCAUUUUCCCACAAUUAUAACGAAACGAAGGCACAACACUUUUGUGUACAUUUACCAUCGACAUGUUACCAUGGGAAUGUCAACGCAUUGUGCUCGUACUCUACUGAAAGGCAAAGCCGGCAACGUUUUGUGCCGAAUUCUUUGUCAGGUUCCUAUAAUCGGACAUCUGUAUGUUGUAGAAGACAGAUGCGCGAUAAUAUAAACAAAUACAUAAUAUAAAGGGAGAUUUGAUAUUCUCGCA